UUCGUAUUUUGCGGAUUAUCACAAGCUGGAAAUGAUAUAGAGAAGAUCAGCAUGGUCUCUGCGCAAGGAUGACACGAAAAAAAUCGCAGAGCCAUCCUUGAAC
rnacentral:snRNA from 1 species